AAAUUGAAGAGUUUGAUCAUGGCUCAGAUUGAACGCUGGCGGCAGGCCUAACACAUGCAAGUCGAACGGUAACAGGAAGCAGCUUGCUGCUUUGCUGACGAGUGGCGGACGGGUGAGUAAUGUCUGGGAAACUGCCUGAUGGAGGGGGAUAACUACUGGAAACGGUAGCUAAUACCGCAUAACGUCGCAAGACCAAAGAGGGGGACCUUCGGGCCUCUUGCCAUCGGAUGUGCCCAGAUGGGAUUAGCUUGUUGGUGGGGUAACGGCUCACCAAGGCGACGAUCCCUAGCUGGUCUGAGAGGAUGACCAGCCACACUGGAACUGAGACACGGUCCAGACUCCUACGGGAGGCAGCAGUGGGGAAUAUUGCACAAUGGGCGCAAGCCUGAUGCAGCCAUGCCGCGUGUAUGAAGAAGGCCUUAGGGUUGUAAAGUACUUUCAGCGGGGAGGAAGGGAGUAAAGUUAAUACCUUU
rnacentral:rRNA from 1 species